rnacentral:rRNA from 1 species
UACGUAGGGGGCAAGCGUUGUCCGGAAUCAUUGGGCGUAAAGCGCGCGUAGGCGGCCCGGUAAGUCCGCUGUGAAAGUCAAAGGCUCAACCUUUGAAUGUCAGCGGAUACUGCCGGGCUAGAGUCCGGAAGAGGCGAGUGGAACUCCUGGUGUAGCGGUGGAAUGCGUAGAGAUCGGGAAGAACACCAGUGGCGAAGGCGGCGCUCUGGGCUGCACCUGACGCUGAGAUGCGAAAGUGUGGGGAGCAAACGGG